rnacentral:rRNA from 1 species
AGAGUUUGAUCCUGGCUCAGGAUGAACGCUGGCGAGAUGCCUUACACAUGCAAGUCAUACGAGAAUUUUUAAUUCAAGUGGCGGACGGGUGAGUAACACGUAAGAAUUUGCCUUUAGGAGGGGGACAACAACUGGAAACGGUUGCUAAUACCCCAUAUGCUUUCGAGUGAAACGGAAUUUUCCGCCUAAAGAGAAGCUUGCGGCUGAUUAGCUUGUUGGUGAGGUAAUGGCUUACCAAGGCGACGAUCAGUAUCUGGUUUGAGAGGAUGAUCAGACACACUGGAACUGAGACACGGUCCAGACUCCUACGGGAGGCAGCAGUGGGGAAUUUUCCGCAAUGGGCGAAAGCCUGACGGAGCAAUCUCGCGUGAGGGAUGACGGCCUAUGGGUUGUAAACCUCUUUUUUCAGGGAGGAAUAAAUGACGUGUACCUGAAGAAUAAGCAUCGGCUAACUCCGUGCCAGCAGCCGCGGUAAGACGGAGGAUGCAAGUGUUAUCCGGAAUCACUGGGCGUAAAGCGUCUGUAGGUGGUUUGAUAAGUCAACUGUUAAAUCUUGAAGCUCAACUUCAAAAUCGCAGUCGAAACUAUCAGACUAGAGUAUAGUA